rnacentral:rRNA from 1 species
AAACUCUAAAAGGGAAAUUGAACCGGGCCCCGGCACACAAAGCCGGUUGGAGGCCAUGUUGGUUUAAUUUCGAAAGCCAACCGCCGAAAGAACCCUUUACCCAGGUUCUUUGAACAUCCCUCCUUGACAACCCCUAGAAGAAUAAGGGCUUUUCCCCUUUCGGGGGAACAGAAGUUGAACAAGGUGGUUGCAUGGUUGUUCGUCCAGCUUCGUGUCGUGAGAUGUUUGGGUUAAGUCCCCCCAACGAGCGCCAACCCUUGAUCUUAGUUGCCAGCAUUUAGUUGGGCACUCUAAGGUGACUGCCGGUGACAAACCGGAGGAAGGUGGGGAUGACGUCAAAUCAUCAUGCCCCUUAUGACCUGGGCUACACACGUGCUACAAUGGACAGAACAAAGGGCUGCGAGACCGCAAGGUUUAGCCAAUCCCAUAAAUCUGUUCUCAGUUCGGAUCGCAGUCUGCAACUCGACUGCGUGAAGCUGGAAUCGCUAGUAAUCGCGGAUCAGCAUGCCGCGGUGAAUACGUUCCCGGGCCUUGUACACACCGCCCGUCACACCACGAGAGUUUGUAACACCCGAAGUCGGUGAGGUAACCUUAUGAGCCAGCCGC